rnacentral:rRNA from 1 species
CGCACCGUAAACGAUGGAUACUCGUGGUUGGCGAUAGACAGUCAGUCACCAAGCGAAAGCGUUAAGUAUCCCACCUGGGGAGUACGCCGGCAACGGUGAAACUCAAAGGAAUUGACGGGGGCCCGCACAAGCGGAGGAACAUGUGGUUUAAUUCGAUGAUACGCGAGGAACCUUACCCGGGCUUGAAUUGCACAGGACGGUAGCAGAGACGCUACUUUCUUCGGACCUGUGUGAAGGUGC